rnacentral:rRNA from 1 species
CCUACGGGAGGCAGCAGUGAGGAAUAUUGGUCAAUGGACGAGAGUCUGAACCAGCCAAGUAGCGUGAAGGAUGACUGCCCUAUGGGUUGUAAACUUCUUUUAUAUGGGAAUAAACUGUUCCACGUGUGGGAUUUUGUAUGUACCCUAUGAAUAAGGAUCGGCUAACUCCGUGCCAGCAGCCGCGGUAAUACGGAGGAUCCGAGCGUUAUCCGGAUUUAUUGGGUUUAAAGGGAGCGUAGGUGGUUUUGUAAGUCAGGUGUGAAAGUUUGCGGCUCAACCGUAAAAUUGCAGUUGAAACUGGCAGUCUUGAGUACAGUAGAGGUGGGCGGAAUUCGUGGUGUAGCGGUGAAAUGCUUAGAUAUCACGAAGAACUCCGAUUGCGAAGGCAGUUCACUGGACUGCAACUGACACUGAGGCUCGAAAGUGUGGGUAUCAAACAGGAUUAGAUACCCUUGUAGUC